rnacentral:rRNA from 1 species
UGCAAGUCGAGCGCAGGAAAUCGACGGAACCCUUCGGGGGGAAGUCGACGGAAUGAGCGGCGGACGGGUGAGUAACACGUAAAGAACCUGCCCUCAGGUCUGGGAUAACCACGAGAAAUCGGGGCUAAUACCGGAUGGGUCAUCGGACCGCAUGGUCCGAGGAUGAAAGGCGCUUCGGCGUCGCCUGGGGAUGGCUUUGCGGUGCAUUAGCUAGUUGGUGGGGUAAUGGCCCACCAAGGCGACGAUGCAUAGCCGACCUGAGAGGGUGAUCGGCCACACUGGGACUGAGACACGGCCCAGACUCCUACGGGAGGCAGCAGUAGGGAAUCUUCCACAAUGGACGAAAGUCUGAUGGAGCAACGCCGCGUGAACGAUGAAGGCCUCGGUCGUAAGUUACUGUUGUAAGGGAAGAAC